rnacentral:lncRNA from 1 species
UUUCAAUAAAACUCCCAAAAAAAAAUUCUAGCUACGUACUGAGAAAAUCCUCGUGCGUUCUCACAAUUCCGCACGCCUUCCGCAUUGUUCGUGCGG